AUGAACGCUGGCGGCGUGCCUAAUACAUGCAAGUCGAGCGAACAGAUGAGGAACUUGCUCCUCUGACGUUAGCGGCGGACGGGUGAGUAACACGUGGAUAACCUACCUAUAAGACUGGGAUAACUUCGGGAAACCGGAGCUAAUACCGGAUAAUAUAUUGAACCGCAUGGUUCAAUAGUGAAAGACGGUUUUGCUGUCACUUAUAGAUGGAUCCGCGCCGCAUUAGCUAGUUGGUAAGGUAACGGCUUACCAAGGCAACGAUGCGUAGCCGACCUGAGAGGGUGAUCGGCCACACUGGAACUGAGACACGGUCCAGACUCCUACGGGAGGCAGCAGUAGGGAAUCUUCCGCAAUGGGCGAAAGCCUGACGGAGCAACGCCGCGUGAGUGAUGAAGGUCUUCGGAUCGUAAAACUCUGUUAUUAGGGAAGAACAAAUGUGUAAGUAACUAUGCACGUCUUGACGGUACCUAAUCAGAAAGCCACGGCUAACUACGUG
rnacentral:rRNA from 1 species